GAUAAUAAAGCAGAGGGCAUUGACGAUAUGGACAAGUUCAGAUUUGUUGGUCCAGUGGGUGCAAAGAGAUGCUCAGAUGCAAAAUUUCCAGAAAAGCUGAAAGAUGAUAAAGCAGAGAACAUUGAUGAUAUUGACAAGUUGGGUCAUGUUGGUCCCAUGGGUGCACAUCCUCCAGAAAAGAAGAGAAAUGUUAGAGCACAACGAGUAUUGCCUAAGUCAUUAUGUGGAAACAUUGGCAAUGUAAGAGGAGAACCGGUGCCUGAUGAUGUUCUGUGCUCAAGGAACUUUAAGAAGGUCACAAUAUUGGAUGUGCUAAAAAUGGUCUCGCAGGACUAUAAUUACGAUCCUAGUGUACUAAAUGGUAGUGUCAUG
rnacentral:misc_RNA from 1 species